rnacentral:sRNA from 1 species
ACUAAGCUAAAUGAUGAUAAAUACCUGCCUAAAAUGAGUAAAAUACAGUGUU